UACGGAGGGUGCAAGCGUUGUUCGGAAUCACUGGGCGUAAAGGGCGCGUAGGCGGCGCAACAAGUCACUUGUGAAAUCUCCGGGCUUAACCCGGAGCGGCCAAGUGAUACUGUCGUGCUAGAGUGCGGAAGGGGCUACUGGAAUUCCUGGUGUAGCGGUGAAAUGCGCAGAUAUCAGGAGGAACACCAAUGGCGAAGGCAGCACUCUGGGACGUGACUGACGCUGAGACGCGAAAGCGUGGGGAGCAAACAGG
rnacentral:rRNA from 1 species